rnacentral:rRNA from 1 species
AGAGUUUGAUCCUGGCUCAGGAUGAACGCUAGCGGCAGGCUUAACACAUGCAAGUCGAGGGGUAACAGGGAAGCUUGCUUCCGCUGACGACCGGCGCACGGGUGCGUAACGCGUAUGCAACCUACCUCAUACUGGAGAAUAGCCCUUGGAAACGAGGAUUAAUGCUCCAUAGUAUCACAGAUUCGCAUGUUUCUGUGAUUAAAGAAUUUCGGUAUGAGAUGGGCAUGCGUCCCAUUAGCUUGUUGGUGAGGUAACGGCUCACCAAGGCAACGAUGGGUAGGGGGCCUGAGAGGGUGACCCCCCACACUGGUACUGAGACACGGACCAGACUCCUACGGGAGGCAGCAGUGAGGAAUAUUGGGCAAUGGAGGCAACUCUGACCCAGCCAUGCCGCGUGAAGGAUGACUGCCCUAUGGGUUGUAAACUUCUUUUAUAUGGGAAGAAACUUAUCUACGUGUAGAUAACUGACGGUACCAUACGAAUAAGGAUCGGCUAACUCCGUGCCAGCAGCCGCGGUAAUACGGAGGAUCCAAGCGUUAUCCGGAUUCAUUGGGUUUAAAGGGUCCGUAGGCGGGUCUUUAAGUCAGUGGUGAAAGCCGACAGCUCAACUGUCGAACUGCCAUUGAUACUGGAGACCUUGAGUACAAAUGAAGUAGGCGGAAUGAGUCAUGUAGCGGUGAAAUGCAUAGAUAUGACUCAGAACACCGAUUGCGAAGGCAGCUUACUAACAUGUAACUGACGCUGAGGGACGAAAGCGUGGGGAGCGAACAGGAUUAGAUACCCUGGUAGUCCACGCCGUAAACGAUCAUCACUCGCUGUUGGCGAUAUACUGUCAGCGGCCAAGCGAAAGUAUUAAGUGAUGCACCUGGGGAGUACGCCGGCAACGGUGAAACUCAAAGGAAUUGACGGGGGCCCGCACAAGCGGUGGAGCAUGUGGUUUA